CCUACGGGUGGCAGCAGUCGAGAAUUUUUGACAAUGGGGGAAACCCUGAUCGAGCGACGCCGCGUGGAGGAUGAAGGUCUUCGGGUUGUAAACUCCUGUCAUUUGAGAACUAGUAUCAGAAGAGGAAGAGACGGCUAACUCUGUGCCAGCAGCCGCGGUAAUACAGAGGUCUCAAGCGUUGUUCGGAUUCAUUGGGCGUAAAGGGUGCGUAGGUGGCGCCAUAAGUCGGGUGUGAAAUCUCGGGGCUUAACUCCGAAACUGCAUUCGAUACUGGGGUGCUUGAGGACUGGAGAGGAGACUGGAAUUCAUGGUGUAGCAGUGAAAUGCGUAGAGAUCAUGAGGAAGACCAGUGGCGAAGGCGGGUCUCUGGACAGUCCUGACACUGAGGCACGAAGGCCAGGGGAGCAAACGGGAUUAGAUACCCUUGUAGUC
rnacentral:rRNA from 1 species